GACGAACGCUGGCGGCGUGCUUAACACAUGCAAGUCGAACGGUAAGGCCCUUCGGGGUACACGAGUGGCGAACGGGUGAGUAACACGUGGGUGAUCUGCCCUGCACUUCGGGAUAAGCCUGGGAAACUGGGUCUAAUACCGGAUAGGACCACUGCCUGCAUGGGUGGUGGUGGAAAGCUUUUGCGGUGUGGGAUGGGCCCGCGGCCUAUCAGCUUGUUGGGGGGGUGAUGGCCUACCAAGGCGACGACGGGGAGCCGGCCUGGGAGGGUGACCGGCCACACUGGGACUGAGAUACGGCCCAGACUCCUACGGGAGGCAGCAGUGGGGAAUAUUGCACAAUGGGCGCAAGCCUGAUGCAGCGACGCCGCGUGAGGGAUGACGGCCUUCGGGUUGUAAACCUCUUUCAGCACCGACGAAGCGCAAGUGACGGUAGGUGCAGAAGAAGGACCGGCCAACUACGUGCCAGCCGCCGCCGUAA
rnacentral:rRNA from 1 species